GGAUGUGAGGGUGAUCUGGCUGCAACAUCUGUUACCCCAUUGAUCACCAGGGUUGAUUCAGCUGAUCUGGCUGGCUAGGAAGGUGUCCCCUUCCUCCCUCACCGCUCCAUGUGUGUCCCCUCCAAAGCUGCACACUAAGUAGAAGAGGACGGCCUUCCCCAAAUAGAAACAGACAGGUCUUCAGUCAAGGGUAUAGGAGUAGUUGCGCUCCCCUGCUAGAACCUCCAAACAAGCUCUCAAGGUCCAGCGAAGAAGCAAUUACAGAAGCCAGACCUCCCACCUUCUGCACCCCAUAAAGAUCUUUGGUCCAUAAUCCCAGAAAGAUAAAGAAUAGGAAACCUU
ensembl:misc_RNA 7SK 7SK RNA